rnacentral:rRNA from 1 species
UCCACGCCGUAAACGAUGUCAACUAGUUGUUGGGUAUAUAAAGAUACUUAGUGACGAAGCUAACGCGAUAAGUUGACCGCCUGGGGAGUACGGCCGCAAGGCUAAAACUCAAAUGAAUUGACGGGGGCCCGCACAAGCGGUGGAGCAUGUGGUUUAAUUCGAUGCAACGCGAAGAACCUUACCAGGUCUUGACAUCCAGAGAAUCCUUUAGAGAUAGAGAGUGCCUUCGGA